UACGGGGGGGGCAAGCGUUGUUCGGAAUUACUGGGCGUAAAGCGCACGUAGGCGGUAUUGAAAGUUGGAUGUGAAAUCCCUCGGCUUAACCAAGGAAGUGCAUCCAAAACUCCAGUACUUGAGUACUUAAGAGGAUCGCGGAAUUCCCGGUGUAGAGGUGAAAUUCGUAGAUAUCGGGAGGAACACCAGUGGCGAAGGCGGCGAUCUGGGAAGAUACUGACGCUGAGGUGCGAAAGCGUGGGGAGCAAACAGG
rnacentral:rRNA from 1 species